rnacentral:rRNA from 1 species
CCUUCGGGAACUGUGAGACAGGUGCUGCAUGGCUGUCGUCAGCUCGUGUUGUGAAAUGUUGGGUUAAGUCCCGCAACGAGCGCAACCCUUAUCCUUUGUUGCCAGCGGUUCGGCCGGGAACUCAAAGGAGACUGCCAGUGAUAAACUGGAGGAAGGUGGGGAUGACGUCAAGUCAUCAUGGCCCUUACGACCAGGGCUACACACGUGCUACAAUGGCAUAUACAAAGAGAAGCGACCUCGCGAGAGCAAGCGGACCUCAUAAAGUAUGUCGUAGUCCGGAUUGGAGUCUGCAACUCGACUCCAUGAAGUCGGAAUCGCUAGUAAUCGUAGAUCAGAAUGCUACGGUGAAUACGUUCCCGGGCCUUGUACACACCGCCCGUCACACCAUGGGAGUGGGUUGCAAAAGAAGUAGGUAGCUUAACCUUCGGGAGGGCGCUUACCACUUUGUGAUUCAUGACU